CUACGGGCCGCUCCAGUGGGGAAUAUUGGACAAUGGGGGAAACCCUGAUCCAGCAAUGCCGCGUGUGUGAAGAAGGCCUGCGGGUUGUAAAGCACUUUCGGUUGGGAGGACUGCUUCUAGCACUAAUAUUGUUGGAAGUUGACGUUACCUUCAGAAGAAGCACCGGCUAGCUCCGUGCCAGCAGCCGCGGUAAUACGGAGGGUGGCAAGCGUUAAUCGGAAUUACUGGGCGUAAAGCGCGCGUAGGCGGCUAGAUCAGUCGGGUGUGAAAGCCCCGGGCUUAACCUGGGAACUGCAUCCGAUACUGUCUAGCUUGAGUACAGGAGAGGAGAGUGGAAUUCCACAUGUAGCGGUGAAAUGCGUAGAUAUGUGGAGGAACACCAAUGGCGAAGGCAGCUCUCUGGCCUGAUACUGACGCUGAGGUGCGAAAGCGUGGGGAGCAAACAGGAUUAGAUACCCCAGUAGUC
rnacentral:rRNA from 1 species